rnacentral:rRNA from 1 species
CCUACGGGGGGCAGCAGUGAGGAAUAUUGGGCAAUGGGCGGAAGCCUGAACCAGCCAAGCCGCGUGAGGGAUGAAGGUUCUAUGGAUCGUAAACCUCUUUUAUAAGGGAAUAAAGUGCGGGACGUGUCCCGUUUCGUAUGUACCUUAUGAAUAAGGAUAGGCUAACCUCGUGCCAGCAGCCGCGGUAAUACGGAGGAUCCGAGCGUUAUCCGGAUUGAUUGGGUUUAAAGGGUGCGUAGGCGGCCUUUUAAGUCAGCGGUGAAAGUCUGUGGCUCAACCCUAGAAUUGCCGUUGAUACUGGGAGACUUGAGUAUGUUAGAGGCAGGCGGAAUUCGUGGUGUAGCGGUGAAAUGCUUAGAUA